GUGUCUUCACUUGGGCAGCACAUUUACUAGAAAUUGGAAUGAUACAGAGAUUAGCACGGCCCCUACCCAAGGUUGAUGCACACAUUCACAAAGCACUCCGUAUUUUU
ensembl:snRNA U6 U6 spliceosomal RNA